rnacentral:rRNA from 1 species
GAUGAACGCUGGCGGCGUGCCUAAUACAUGCAAGUCGAGCGAACGGACGAGAAGCUUGCUUCUCUGAUGUUAGCGGCGGACGGGGGAGUAACACGUGGAUAACCUACCUAUAAGACUGGGAUAACUUCGGGAAACCGUAGCUAAUACCGGAUAAUAUUUUGAACCGCAUGGUUCAAAAGUGAAAGACGGUCUUGCUGUCACUUAUAGAUGGAUCCGCGCUGCAUUAGCUAGUUGGUAAGGUAACGGCUUACCAAGGCAACGAUGCAUAGCCGACCUGAGAGGGUGAUCGGCCACACUGGAACUGAGACACGGUCCAGACUCCUACGGGAGGCAGCAGUAGGGAAUCUUCCGCAAUGGGCGAAAGCCUGACGGAGCAACGCCGCGUGAGUGAUGAAGGUCUUCGGAUCGUAAAACUCUGUUAUUAGGGAAGAACAUAUGUGUAAGUAACUGUGCACAUCUUGACGGUACCUAAUCAGAAAGCCACGGCUAACUACGUG